rnacentral:rRNA from 1 species
CCGGAAUCAUUGGGCGUAAAGCGCGCGCAGGCGGUCCCUUAAGUCUGAUGUGAAAGCCCACGGCUCAACCGUGGAGGGUCAUUGGAAACUGGGGGACUUGAGUGCAGAAGAGGAAAGCGGAAUUCCAAGUGUAGCGGUGAAAUGCGUAGAGAUUUGGAGGAAUACCAGUGGCGAAGGCGGCUUUCUGGUCUGUAACUGACGCUGAGGCGCGAAAGCGUGGGGAGCAAACAGGAUUAGAUACCCUGGUAGUCCACGCCGUAAACGAUGAGUGCUAAGUGUUAGGGGGUUUCCGCCCCUUAGUGCUGCAGCUAACGCAUUAAGCACUCCGCCUGGGGAGUACGGUCGCAAGACUGAAACUCAAAGGAAUUGACGGGGGCCCGCACAAGCGGUGGAGCGUGUGGUUUAAUUCGAAGCAACGCGAAGAACCUUACCAGGUCUUGACAUCCCGCCGACCGCCUAGGAGACUANGCCUUCCCUUCGGGGACGGCGGUGACAGGUGGUGCAUGGUUGUCGUCAGCUCGUGUCGUGAGAUGUUGGGUUAAAGUCCCGCAACGAGCGCAACCCUUGAUCUUUAGUUGCCAGCAUUCAGUUGGGCACUCUAAGGUGACUGCCGGU